GCCGUCGUUGGUCAGGGUGAUCACCUCAUUUCAAUUCCUGGACUAUGAUACCCACGAAUUUAAUUGCAUGAGGAGGCGGAGGUUCGAUUCCUUCCAAAGGCA